AGAGUUUGAUCCUGGCUCAGAUUGAACGCUGGCGGCGUGCUUAACACAUGCAAGUCGAGCGGAAAGGCCCUUCGGGGUACUCGAGCGGCGAACGGGUGAGUAACACGUGAGGAACCUGCCCCUAGCUCUGGGAUAGCUUCGGGAAACCGGAAUUAAUACCGGAUACGACCACUGUCGGCAUCGACUGCGGUGGAAAGAUU
rnacentral:rRNA from 1 species